CACUGGACCAGCUCAUAAAAGUCUUCAAGAAAAAAGGAGGCGCUGCAGUGAAGAAAAUUAGACAAACUUUGGCCCCUGCCACAAAGAAGCAAACUAUUGAAAAGGGGAGGGAGUGUGUCCUCAGGGCACUCCCUCUUUACCUAAAUGAAGACCCAAGCAUCCUCUUCAAAGAAUAAUUGAAAAACUGGAUGCCAUUUUUCUAUGUUUUUGUGUGUAAGCUACAGCUACAGCUGUUCAGAGGGAGCUGGAACAAAUUACCCUUGCUAUCUUUACCAUCGAAAGAGCUGAUGCCUCCAGCCGAUGUGGGUAUAACCAUCUAGGGUGUUCUGCAUGACCUGGAAGACAUGGCCUCUGCAUGUGCACUCUUAAUGGGUGGGAUAUAUGCACUGAAUCUCAGUUAACCUCGAGACUUAAAGCUUUCUUUGAAGUACUUCAGAAGCUCUUCCUUCAUCUGGAUGUCAGCAGACUCUUGACCAAGGUAGAGAUGCUCAAGAAUAAAUUGAAUGAAUAAGCCAACCCUUAAUUUGGAUGUUGAAUGUUCUGUCAGAUGGACAGAAGUUUUUCGGAGGCUGAAUGGGAAUAAAAUGGUAAUUUGUUGAAAAUGACAGAUAAAGGGAAAAUUACACUUAAGAGAAAUUUUGAAAAGUUUGUAAACUACUACAAUUUGACAGAUUUUACUCUUGUGUUACAUUUUGUGCAUUGUAAAGGUAAUUGCAAUACAUACUAAGAAUAACGGUAAGUUAGGAAUGCAGAAUGAAUGUAUAUUUUGCGGACUUUUAAAGACGAACAAUUGUUUCCAUGUUAAAAUGUUUACAACUCAAGUUUUUUGCCCAAACACUGGUAAAAUAAACGUUGACAGUGGCAAGUGUUAAAUGGUUACUGUUGUGCUGUUGCAAAAAACCUGAAUGCUGACAAGCUGUUUUAUUGUUAGACAAUGAUGCUGGCAUGUUUUAUUAAAGUUUUAUUUGGGAUGGUGAUAUAAUUUUCUUUGAUUGCUAAUAUCAGUGGACUGUUUAUUAUUAUUAUUAUUAUUAUUAUUAUUAUUAUUAUCAUUAUUAUUAUCAUUAUUAUCAUUAUUUUUUUAAUUGUGGCCGUUGAGGUACACACUUCACUUUGCAUGUGUUACUGGACUAACCCUAAGCAACCAUUGCAAAUAGCAACUUUGCUAUUCAUUUUAGACACUAGAAGAAAAAACACUCCACAAACCUUACUAGCAUCACAUGUGCAUAACUCAAGUGUCAUCUUAUCAACAUGUUAUGUAGUCUUCAAUGUUUUUUUUUCUUCUAUUUCUGGCAGAUACAGACAUUUAAUUUAAAGUAUUGAUGUUGCAUCUGUCUAUAUACUGUUAAUUACUAACCCUAAUGAGCUGUUGUAUUUCAUUUUGGACUGGGUUUACACAAAUGCUCACUGAAUGUGUUGGCAAUAAAAGAAAUUUUAAAAAAUAA